AGCUCCAAUAGCGUAUAUUUAAGUUGUUGCAGUUAAAAAGCUCGUAGUUGGAUUUCGGGUGGGUAGCAAUGGUCCGGUUCGCUGUGUACUGUUGCUGCCUAUCUUUCUGCCGGAAAUGGGAUCUUAGGCUUUACUGUCUGAGACCUGGAGUCGGCGAGGUUACUUUGAGUAAAUUAGAGUGUUCAAAGCAAGCUUACGCUCUGAAUACAUUAGCAUGGAAUAACACAAUAGGACUUCGGCCUAUCUUGUUGGUCUGUAGGACUGAAGUAAUGAUUAAGAGGGAUAGUCGGGGGCAUUCGUAUUUCAUUGUCAGAGGUGAAAUUCUUGGAUUUAUGAAAGACGAACUUCUGCGAAAGCAUUUGCCAAGGAUGUUUUCA
rnacentral:rRNA from 1 species